rnacentral:snRNA from 1 species
GUGCUCGCCUCGGCAGCACAGAUGCUAAAAUUGGAAGGACACAGAGAAGAUUAGCGUGGCCCCUGCGCGAGGAUGACACGCAAAUUCGGGAAGCGUCCACAUUUAAA